UCCCGAGCAGUAUUCAUUUUCUAGUGUGAG
rnacentral:piRNA from 1 species